rnacentral:lncRNA from 1 species
AUACUGUGAUAAUCUCCAUGUAAAGAGUUUCCAGUGAGGCUCUCCAUCUACUAAGGAAGACUGGCACUUGCUCUGCAAUUUAAAGCCUGGGGACACUAAGUGGGCAAUGAGGUGGCACAGUGGACAGAGUGCCAGUCUUGGAGUCAGAAAGAUUCAUCUUCCUGAGUUCAAAUCCGCCUGAGACACUAACUGUGUGUACCUGGGCAAGUCAUUUAACUCUAUUUGCCUCAGUUUUCUCAUCUGUAAAAUGAACUUGAAAAGAAAGUGACUAACCACUCCAGUAUCUUUGCCAAUAAAACCCCAAAUGGGGUCAGGAAGAUGGCUGAGGAAGUUACUAGUCAAGAGAAGGGAGAGCAUUACAAGUCUUGGGGACAACCAAAGAAAAUGGCCAGAGAAGAGAAAUGAAGAGUCUUGCUUGUGGAACCAUCACUGGAUGGAAGAGUAUUUGUUGGGAAGGGAGGAAGCCUGGCAAGUAAAAGAGCAUGGCAGAACCUAGUCUUCUCAUGAGAAUGAACUAACCAAGAACAAGUUGAAGCCAGAAAAAGAGAGAAUUUCACACCCUGGCUGGUAGAAACUAUUCAUCCAUCAGAGAAAACAUGCCAGAGAGGACUAGUCCAGUGAGAGCAGAAUAAUACCAUCACCUGAAGACAUCAAAGGCCCUUCAGAACUGGAUAUGUGAAUCACCUGUCUAGAAGUACAUCUUGACCACAAAUGUUCCCCAAAUGUAUACCCUUCCAUGCACAUACCCGGGUCAAAUUUGCCUCCUCUGUGUGUGCCCUGGCCACUCCUGUUCCUUACAUGUACCCACAUUCCCACUAAUGAUGUUUACAAUUGUGGGAGAAAGUGCCUCAAGUUGAUGGAGGAAAUGUUUUAUUGCUCCAUUAAUAUGCUACUUCAUUAAAUGUGUCUGUUUUGAAUUAAUUGUGUCUUCCGAUGACUAUUAUAGAUAAACUUAUCCAUGUUUAUUUAGCUUAUGAGCUAAGGCUUAAGUGGAUGAUGACCCACAAAGCACCUUCAACCUAGGGUAGCCUUCUAUGGGGAUUUGUCCUGUGAGCUUGAGUCAUGUAUGUGACUAUAAUGGAGUUUUAAAAAAUCAGUUCCAAGCACUCUUUGUUUUGUUUUGU